rnacentral:rRNA from 1 species
UGAAUACGAGAUGCUACGGCGUCGAAGCAGUGUAUGUCAGACUUCCAAGAAAAGCUCGCAAUGUCAUAAAUAAAGAAUGCCUGUACCAUAACCGACACAGGUGGGUAGGUAGAGUAUACUAAGGGGCGCGAGAUAACUCUCUCUAAGGAACUCGGCAAAAUAACUCCGUAACUUCGGGAGAAGGAGUGCCUUCUAUUAGAAGGUUGCAAUAACAAGAUCCGAGCAACUGUUUAUCAAAAACACAGGUCUCCGCUAAGUCGUAAGACGAUGUAUGGGGGCUGACGCCUGCCCAGUGCCAGAAGGUUAAGAAGUUGGUUAGCUUUGGCGAAGCUGAUGACUGAAGCCCUGGUGAACGGCGGCCGUAACAAUAACGGUCCUAAGGUAGCGAAAUUCCUUGUCGGGUAAGUUCCGACCCGCACGAAAGGCGUAAUGAUUUGGAUACUGUCUCGGAGAGGGACUCGGUGAAAUAGACUUGUCUGUGAAGAUGCGGACUACCUGCACCAGGACAGAAAGACCCUAUGAAGCUUUUCUGUAACUUGAAAUUGAAAUUGGACUUUAUUUGCGCAGCAUAGGUGGAAGGCGUUGAGAUUACUCUUGCGGGAGUACUGGAGCCAUCAGUGAGAUACCACUCCUAUAAUGUUAGAUUUCUAACUUUGGAUCAUGAUCUGGUCAAAGAACAGUUUCAGGCGGGCAGUUUGACUGGGGCGGUCGCCUCCCAAAUGGUAACGGAGGCGUACAAAGGUUUCCUCUGAACGGGUAGAAAUCGUAUCUAGAGUGUAAAGGCAUAAGGAAGCUUGACUGUGAGACCUACAAGUCGAGCAGGGACGAAAGUCGGUCUUAGUGAUCUGACGGUGCUGAGUGGAAAGGCCGUCACUCAACGGAUAAAAGUUACUCUAAGGAUAACAGGCUGAUCUCCCCCAAGAGUUCACAUCGACGGGGAGGUUUGGCACCUCGAUGUCGGCUCAUCGCAUCCUGGGGCGGUAGUACGUCCCAAGGGUUGGGCUGUUCGCCCAUGAAAGCGGUACGCGAGCUGGGUUCAGAACGUCGUGAGACAGUUCGGUCCAUAUCCGGUGUAGGCGUUAGAAUAUUGAGAGGAGCCUUCUUUAGUACGAGAGGACCGAGAAGGACAUACCUCUGGUGUACCAGUUAUCGUGGCAACGGUAAACGCUGGGUAGCUAUGUAUGGAGAGGAUAACCGCUGAAAGCAUCUAAGUGGGAAGCCCACCUCAAGAUGAGUAUUCUC